GAUACCCUAUUAUAAUAAUUUAAUUAAUUAUAAUUAAAGUAUUAAAUGAUAAAUCAUUAAAUUUAAAAAAUUUGGCGGUAUUUUAUAAAAUUAGAGGAACCUGUUGUGUAAUUGAUAGACCACGAUAAGAAAUACUUUAAUUAAAUUUUAUGUAUUGUUGUUUAAAAAUUUUUAUUAAGUAUAAAAUUAAUUAUUUUAUUAGAAAUUUAAUUCAAAUCAAAAUAUAGAUUAUUAAAGAAUUAAUGGGUUACAAUUAAUUAAAUUAUUAUUUAAUUAAAUUUAAUUAAAUUAAAAUAUUGGAUUUAAAAGUAAAGUUAUUAAAUUAUUUAAUUUGAAAUUUUAAUAAAAUAUGUACACAUC
rnacentral:rRNA from 1 species